UUUCCGUAGGUGAACCAGCGGAGGGAUCAUUACAGGACUCGCAAGACUCCUUCACCCUGUGAACCUCACUACAAGCACGUUGCUUCGGCGGGUGUCCCGGCGGGGGUUUUCCCUCGCCGGGGCGCACAGCCCGCCGGCAGCCUACUAUACUCUGUCUCUUUGCGUUGGCUUCUCGAGAAAAAACAAACAAGUUAAAACUUUCAACAACGGAUCUCUUGGUUCUG
rnacentral:misc_RNA from 1 species